AGAAGAAGAUUGUGGAGCUCAGAAGGAUUUUUCCUGCCGGAAAUUGAAGUCCAAUGCAUCAACCAUAUUAAAAGAUCCGGAGACUCCAAACAACUGGAUGUGAAGAAUUGAAGUGUUUCGGUAUGCCACCACGGAGUGGCAUGGUCAUCCAAGGGACAUCCAUUUAUAACCACGGAGUUUCAUCAAUCAGUAUUCUGUUACGCGUAGAAAUUUUGACUUAACGAUGGAUUCCGCAGUUACGUUCCAUCGAGAUGCUUGUAGUCGGGAAUUCAGUUCCUGGUGCGGAAAUACCGUCAAUUUUUUGUGAAUGCAUUGCUUCUUAAAAUUUUAGCCGGUUUGCUUAAAAAGGUGUUCCGCAUUCGGGUUACCAGA